rnacentral:misc_RNA from 1 species
GCUAGUACUUAAAGAACAAAGAAGAACCGCUGUUAUUCCAAUACCUCAUAUUCUAUGGCACCUCUCUUCUGAAAAUACAUUUCACUACCAUAAAUCGGCCUGUAACAAUAAAAAUUAAAUGACACAUCAAAGACUCAGACCUAUGUCAAUCCAGCAUUGCUUGUGGCUAGAAACGAUGGCUAGCCAGCACUAGAUGGCUAGCUUCCAUUCGUGUCACUGCUCAUCGAACCUUAGUUGCUAUUUUACUUCCAAUUGCGAGCUUGCAGGUCCAACGUUGGGUAGCCAAUGCUCGCUAACAUUGGUGGGUCUUCGCUGAUGGUUGUUGGUUUGGUUCAUCGAAGCUGGAGAAUGGAAGGUGUAUGAAUCAGUACUCUUAUGCCAAAGAGACUCAUGGGUAGUGAGGAAGAGGAAGAGAAAUUACAUUUUCUUCGUUUUACUUUUU